rnacentral:tRNA from 1 species
UACUCAGUGACUGAAAUUUAAGUGUAGAUCUUUUAAAUCUAUUAUAGUACUAUUACUCUGAGUAA